UGCAGCAUCCUCUGCAAAGGAAAGGAAUGUGCCGUGCUGGGACGCGCCGUCCUGGCCAAGCGGCAGCACCUGGGGCACUCUCUGGAUUGCCAGGGUCCGCCGUCUGGCGCUGCGCCACGUGCUUUGGUCGGUGCUGAUGUCAAGUGGGUGUGGGUUCUUCGGGAAGGCUCCGGCGAGGACGAGUAGGGCGCGGGAUGCGCCGCCAGCGCAUUGAGGCCCCGAAGCGCUUGGUCGCCCAGCGCUGCUGACCCGUAGCCCGCCUGGGCUCGCAGAGUGGGGCGCAUGGAGCCACGGCACUGCCCGCCCCGGGACACGUGCCUUGCCGCCCUAGGGGGCUGGCGGGAUCCACCAAGGGGGGGCUGCAGCCAUAACCAGCACACCACAGCAUUCAGGCAUCCUGUGACCGGGCAGUUUUCUCCAGAAAAUAGUGAAUUCAUUCUUCAAGAAGAGCCAAACCCACAUAUGUCAAAGCAAGAGAGAAACCAAAGACCAUCCAGCAUGGUCAGUGAAACAUCCACAGCUGGUACGACAUCUACCCUGGAGGCCAAGCCUGGACCCAAGAUCAUUAAGUCCAGCAAUAAAGUCCACAGUUUUGGGAAGAGGGAACAGGCCAUUCGGAGAAACCCCAAUGUUCCAGUGGUGGUAAGGGGCUGGCUGCACAAGCAGGACAGUUCUGGGAUGAGACUGUGGAAAAGGAGGUGGUUUGUGCUUGCUGAUUACUGCUUGUUUUACUAUAAAGACAGCCGAGAAGAAGUGGUCCUGGGGAGCAUUCCUCUACCCAGCUAUGUGAUCUCACCUGUGGCCCCUGAGGAUCGCAUAAGUCGCAAGUACUCCUUUAAGGCUGUGCACACAGGGAUGCGAGCACUCAUCUACAACAGCUCUACGGUGGGCUCUCAGGCUGAGCAGUCAGGCAUGAGGACCUACUACUUCAGUGCUGACACCCAGGAGGACAUGAACGCCUGGAUCAGAGCCAUGAACCAGGCUGCACAGGUGCUAUCUCGAUCGUCACUGAAGAGGGACAUGGAGAAGGUGGAGCGGCAGGCAGUGCCCCAAGCCAACCACACAGAAUUGUGUCGAGACUGUGGCCGUGUUGGACCUGGACAUUCGAGAGAUUGUCCUCAUUGUGGCCAUGAUAAUUCCUUCGGCUUUGAGAGGCGGGAGCAGGAGGAAGAGCGGUACCGUUCUCAAAAGGACCCACUGGAGGGGAAGAGGGACAGGAGCAAGUCCAGGUCCCCAUAUUCACCAGCAGAGGAGGAUUCCUUAUUUGUGGAUUUACCCAGUGGUCCGAGAGGCCAGCAGGCACAGCCACAGCGGGCAGAGAAGAAUGGUGUGCUCCCCAUCUAUACUCCAGGAGAGCAGAACGGGACUGGCGGGUACCAGCGGGCCUUUCCUCCAAGGGCCAACCCAGAGAAGCACAGCCAGAGGAAGAGCAGCCUGGCCCAGGCAGAGGCCUGGGCAAAGGCCCAGAAGGGAGAUGGCAGGAGCCUUCCCUCAGACCAGACACUUCCUCGCCAGGGUCCUAGCCAACCACUGUCCUUCCCAGAAAACUAUCAGACUCUGCCCAAGAGUGCCCGACACCCCUCAGGGGGCUCUUCACCCCCUCCCCGGAACCUGCCAAGUGACUACAAAUACGCACAAGAUCGAGCCAGUCACCUGAAGAUGUCCAGUGAGGAACGCCGGGCACACCGGGAUGGCACCGUGUGGCAGCUGUAUGAGUGGCAGCAGCGCCAGCAGUUCCGGCAUGGUAGCCCCACAGCACCCAUCUGUGCUGGCUCCCUGGAGUUCUCUGACCAGGGCCGGAGCAGGAGCAUGCUGGAAGUGCCCCGCUCCAUCUCUGUGCCUCCAUCUCCCUCUGAUAUCCCUCCCCCCGGACCUCCAAGGGUCUUCCCACCUCGGCGGCCACACACGCCAGCAGAAAGGGUUACUGUGAAGCCACCGGACCAGAGGAGGAGUGUGGACAUCUCACUAGGGGCUUCUCCCAAAAAAACACGCGGCCAUACCAUCAAGAACUCUUCUCAUGUGGACCGACGCUCCAUGCCCUCAAUGGGUUACAUGACCCACACUGUCAGUGCUCCCAGUUUACAUGGAAAAUCGCUGGAGGAGCUCUCACUGCUUCUCACCCGGUUGCGGCGUCACCAGGCCAAGUUGGCCAGUGUGCGAGAUUUCGCUGUUGGCCAGUUACUGCAGCGCUACCUGACCUUUCCCACCUGCCAGGCUGAUGAUACCUACCUCCAGCUGAAGAAAGACUUGGAGUACCUGGAUCUAAAGAUUAAAAAUAAUGAACCUUUGAUCAACGUGCUUUACAAAGUGCUGAAGAAGUCAGCACGGGGCUGUCGGCCCAGGAGAAGCAUGACAGGCCGAGACCUUCUCAAGGAUCGAAGUCUGAAGCCUAUGAAGAUCGCGGAGAGUGACAUUGACGUCAAACUGAGUGUCUUCUGUGAACAAGACAGGAUCCUCCAGGACUUGGAAGACAAGAUACGAGCCCUCAAGGAGAACAAAGACCAGCUAGAAUCUGUGCUGGAGGUGUUGCACAGACAGAUGGAGCAGUACCGAGACCAGCCCCAGCACCUGGAGAAGAUUUCCUACCAGCAGAGGCUGCUGCAGGAGGACCUUGUCCACAUCCGAGCUGAGCUGUCCAGAGAGUCCACUGAGAUGGAAAAUGCCUGGAACGAGUACCUGAAGUUGGAGAGGGAUGUGGCGCAGCUGAAGCAGACCCUGCAGGAGCAACACAGAAGAGCCUUUUUUUUCCAGGAGAAAUCACAGAUACAGAAGGAUCUAUGGAGGAUCGAAGAUGUCCUUGCAGGCCUGAGCGCAAAUAAAGAGAACUACAGAAUCCUGGUGGAAUCAGUCAAAAAUCCAGAGAGGAAAACGGUGCCUUUGUUCCCUCACCCGCCUGUGCCUUCACUCUCCACUUCUGAGAGCAAGCCACCCCUGCAGCCCAGCCCUCCCACCAGCCCUGUGCGGACCCCUUUGGAGGUUCGCCUAUUCCCGCAGCUGCAGACCUAUGUGCCGUACCGACCUCACCCACCCCAACUGAGGAAAGUGACAUCCCCCCUUCAGUCACCAACUAAGACAAAGCCCAAAGUGGAAGAGGAGGCACCUCCGAGACCCCCACUCCCUGAACUAUACAGCCCAGAAGACCAGCCUCCAGCUGUGCCACCUCUGCCAAGAGAGGCCACUAUCAUCCGACACACUUCUGUGCGGGGCCUCAAGCGGCAGUCGGAUGAGAGGAAGCGAGACCGGGAGCUGGGGCAGUGUGUGAAUGGGGACUCGCGGGUGGAGCUGCGGUCAUACGUUAGUGAGCCCGAGCUGGCCACCCUCAGUGGGGACAUGACUCAGCCCUCCCUGGGACUUGAGGGACCUGAGAGCAGGUACCAGACACUGCCAGGCAGAGGGCUCUCAGGUUCCACAUCAAGGCUCCAGCAGUCGUCCACCAUCGCUCCCUAUGUCACGCUCCGGAGGGGUCUAAAUGCUGAAAAUAGCAAGGUGACUUUUCUUAGACCCAAGAGUGCCUUGGAGCGCCUGUACUCAGGGGACCACCAGCGGGGCAAGAUGAGUGCAGAGGAGCAGCUUGAGCGCAUGAAGCGGCACCAGAAGGCCCUGGUCCGGGAGCGCAAGAAGACACUGAGCCAAGGAGAAAGGGCGGGCCUGCCCUCAUCCCGCUACCUAUACCAGCCGCUCCCUGGAGAUCUUGGCUCAUGGAAGCGAGAGCAGGACUUUGACCUGCAGUUACUGGACCGAGCCAUGCAAGGGGAAAGAAAAGACAAGGAGGAGAAUGGCUGGUUGAAAGUACAGGCCCUGCCUGUCACAGAGUUGGACCUGGAACCUCAAGACUAUGACUUGGACAUCAGCAGAGAGCUAUCCAAACCAGAGAAGGUCUCUAUCCCUGAGCGUUACGUGGAGCUGGAUCCUGAAGAGCCACCUAGCCUGGAGGAGUUGCAGGCGCGGUAUCGGAAAGCUGAGAAGAUUCGCAACAUCCUCGCCCGGUCAAGCAUGUGCAACCUGCAGCCGACGUCAGGCCAGGACCGCAACAGCCUGGCCGACCUGGACUCGCAGCUGCAAGAGCAGGAGCGUAUCAUCAACAUCUCCUAUGCCUUGGCCUCUGAGGCCUCCCAGCGUAGUAAGCAGGUGGCAGCGCAGCAGCUGGCCCUCCUCCCGCCUAAAGCCCCCUUGUCCUCCAGGACGGUGCCACCUUACUCCCCCUUAAGCAACGGACUCCACUACACCUUUGUCUAACACCUUCCAAAUGAGAAAACGAAGCUCAGAGACCUUGAGGGACUUGUCCAAGGAGUCGCAGCUUCCCAGGCAGUGACAGAACCGUGACCCAUUGUGCAGAGGAAAAGCCUGGAGCCAGGAGCCCAGUGGAAUCAACUUUCUCCCAGGAGAUCGGCUUUUCUGCCCCCAUGGAAACCCCUUCCAGCUGAGCAAGGGUUCUGGCUGGAAGAAGGAGCAGUCCACCAAUCAUGGGACAAUCCCUAUGGGGCUCAGUCCUAACACACACUACUUUUUCAAUUCAGACUCCUUUUUACAAGCAACAAAAAGCACUUUUGAUAUACACUGUAAAAUACUGACACUGUAUUUUAGGAUCAGAAUAUAUUUUAUAAUGUUCACCUCAAGGGCUGAGUGGCUGGAAAGGUGAGGAUGCAGGAUUUUGUUGCUGCACAUAUAGAUUCAGGUACUGUUGGGAUGGUAAGUGUGGGUGGUGGGGAUAAAGGCAGGGCAAGCAGAGGUCAGUCCCAACUACUGAUGAACUCAGGGGAAAGUUGGAUUGACAGUGUGCUUCCUGUGGAUUCCAGCAUUAAUCUUGUUGGCAUGCUGUCUGAGAAAAGAGGGCCCCUUGGCUGCAGAGAUGAGCCAUCCCUGACUUGACCUGACCUGAUGACCAGCUCUGGGUGAAACUCCACCAGUAUGCAUGGGGAACCCAAGUCUACAACUUGACCCUUGGUUUUGGUUUAAGGACAACAGUGUGAUCAAGAGCUUUGGCCUCUCCAACCUGCCCAGGAGGCUCCCUUAGCAAAGGGCUCUUCUCAGAAGAAAAGCAAUUUAUUAAAAAAUAUAUAUAUACAUGCACACACAUACACAUUCAUUUUGAGGUACAGAAAAGGUAAGAUGAAUCAACUUUUUUGUAUUGUAGCAAUAAGCUCCACACUAGGUGACAUCUGUCUGAAAAUCCCUGACUGAAUGCUUCCCUUCAGGCAGGCUGUGUUGGGAACAUUGGCUGCCUGCCCUGGAGAGCCCCAGGUCAGCUGCUCUAGGACUUGGGUCUGGUAGCAACAGAACAAGCAAUGUGCUCUCCACCAUCCCCAAUGGGCCUGUCACCAGUGGGGCCACCAUGGCAGGACUUGGACUUGACUUUCAGACCCAAAUGAGGAGGCGGCUACCAAGCCAGGUGCAGUGUUUAUGAUCCUUUAUUUAAGUUAUAUCAUGAUAUUUUCUAUACAGAAAAUGAUGUUUAAAAGGAAAAAAACAGACACAAAAACCUCCAUUGGGUGGAGCCACACUUUAGAUCAAAAUUUAACUAUGCUCAGAAAAACAAACAAAAAUCUUGAAUAUAUUUAGAAGUUGCUAUCUAUUUUUAACUAACUCCAUAUGCUGCCAGUAUCAACUUCGUGACAUUUGCCAAAAUAAAAUUUUAUUUUUGCCUUUAUAAGAUUUUGUUGAAAAAAAAUGAAAUGACUAUUUUGCAAGAAGAAGUUAAUUUAAAUAAAGGUGUGAUGGUUUGCAAAAAAAAAAAAUGUGAUGUACAGAUUAAAAUAUUAACCUGA